CUCCACUCCGUUUCGGCGGAAUGUGGCUGGCUAGGGUGGCCUGAACCACUGUCUGGGUUGUUUGUCGUUCAGUCGGAUUGAGGAUCUGCCUCCCUUGAGGUGCACAUGUCAUAGUGAUGGCAGAAGCGAGUGUGAGUGAAGCUGAUGUCAUCCCGACGUCGUAACACCGUUGGGCGGGGCGGGGCUCUCAUGUCAAGUCUCCCCGCGGUGCACAUGUCACAGAGGUGCAAAUAGCAUGGCCUUCUUUCCUAUCUUUUCCCCCUCCUCCUCCUCCACCCCCUCCCCCACACACACCUCCUGCUGUUAUAUCGUCACCCUCAUAAAGUAAUUGCCUAAGUCAUUUUUCAGUGAUUUCCAUUUUUGUUAAGUUGUCUUAGAUAUUCAGGGUUUGAGUGUUCUAGAAUUGCCUUUUUAUUUCUGCCUAAAUCUUAAGCCAAAUGAGAUGAUGACGUUCUCUUCUUGAAAAAUAGAAAAUAACGACUUGGGCGGUUUCUUUACGAAGGUGGCGAGAUUGUAAUAGGUUUUGCACCCUCUAUUUAGGGAUGUGCACUAAUUUUCGUCUCUUCUCUUCCCCUCCUCCUCCCCUGGCUGGCCGGGGAACGGAGGAGGAGCACUAGGACGAGGAGGUGAAGGGAGGCGCAGGGAGAGACGACUCAAGCACGAGGAGGCAAGAGACAAGAAGCAGAGACGCAGGAACGGAAAGGCAGCCAGAUGGUCGAUGCUGUGAAGAGGAGGAAGAUGACUGCAGGAGGCGGUGUGUGUGUGUCGGGGAAGGAGAUGACAGCCCACCCUCACACACAGCUGGUUAAGGCCUGCAAGAGAGCCUAGUCAAUGAAGAGGAAAAGAAGACAAGAAUAAAGAAGACAAGAAGAAAGAAGAGAGGCAAAACAGGAGGAGGGGAUUUUUUUUCUGUCUAUACCUGAAGUGUGAUGAAUUUACUAAGGGUAUAUUUAAGCCUGAUAUAACGUACUUUAAGGUAUAUUUAAUGGUACAAGUGUGUAGCCUACUUUUGCCUGGAGUUGGAGACGGUAAAAUGCUCUCCGACUCCUUUAUUGUGGUGCUGUGUGGUUUGUUUACUGUGGUGCGAUGUGGGUCAUUUACUGUGGUGCGGUGUGGUUCGUUAAUUAAGGUCAGGUAUGGUUCGUUUAUUGUAGUGCGGUAUGGUUCGUUUACUGUGGUGCGGUGUGGCUCGUUAAUUAAGGUGAGGUGUGGUUCGUUUAUUGUGGUGCGGUGUGGUUCGUUAAUUAAGGUCAGGUAUGGUUCGUUUAUUGUAGUGCGGUAUGGUUCGUUUACUGUGGUGCGGUGUGGCUCGUUAAUUAAGGUGAGGUGUGGUUCAUUUAUUGUGGUGCGAUGUGGCGUUGCGGGCUUUAAUUUCCCUACCACUGCACGGUGGAGUCAAAUUUUUUUAUAUCCGACUCCACACCUGUGUUAGAGUGUAAGAGUAUUGAUGGAAUAUAUUUAAGGUGCUGGGGGAUACUGUGGUGCACUUGUCGCGGCAACCCAUUCUGCUUCUGCAUAACCCGUACUGCUGCAUGACGCAUAGCAACUCGUGUUUUUUUCUGCUGCCGCAACGACUCGUACUGCUAACGCAUAAUGACCUGUGCUGCUUCUGCUAUUGUAACAACUCUUACUGCAAUAACUUACUGCUGCUUCCAUUUAAAAACGUAUAAACGCAUAAACCCGCUGUGUUGCCAACUUGUCAACAACCCAACUAAUGAAUUUUCUGAUCAAAGAUCAAAGAGAGGAUUAGGCCUUCAGGGGACACCUCUUAAAUAAAAACGCGCCUGGGACUUUUACCUCAGAGGUGGUGUGGAAAAAAAGUCCAGUCACGAAAAUAAGUAUCUUAUACUCCAUGAAAGUGUCUCAGUCUUAUGAGAACACAAAGGUUGAGAGGGCUCAAACAUUCUGUUGUUUCCCGCAUAUGCUCCCAUGUUAGCAGUAAGGGCACUAAAUUCUGAUCUCUGUACAAAACAACCAAAUAUACAUAAUAACGAACAGAAAGUUAAAUAAAAUGUUUGCCUGCAUUACCCGUCAGCAGCGUAGACGUAACAAGGGUUGAAAAAAUGACUUAUUUAUUACAGCCGCUGGCCAACGCCUUGACCCCAGAGGCUUUGUGUUUGUCUCCGCGUCCUCCGCACUACACUGCACAGAAUCUGGCGAGCCUGGGUUGUGACAGCUAUUUCCCAAAGCCUCCAAGGAUACCAGUCAGGCUUAUGAGUGUUUUUCGUGUUGUUGGGGAAGCUCGCAAAUCUACACCUGGAAAUACUACUACCAACACAACCCAUAUGAAAGCCUUUCCUAAAACAUAAAACCUCUACCAGUGCCUUACCAGACGGAACCAAAGCUUACCAAAUACCCAAAAAUCUCUACUAUUUGUGGUUGACUCAAGGUAUUGAAUUUUCACUUAUUUUUUUACAAUGAUGUUAGUGUCCCUUAUAUGUCUUGUUGGGUCUGUUAUUUGUUCUAUAUAUAAGGUAUUGAAUUUGCACUUAUUUUUUAUAAUGACGUUAGUGUCCCUCAUAUGUCGUGUCAUUGAGGGAGUGUUUGGGUCUAUUAUUUGUUCUAUAUAUAAGGUAUUGAAUUUCCACUGAUUUUGUAUACUUAUGUUACUGUCCCUCAUAUGUUGUGUCAUUGAGGGAGUGUUUGGGUCUAUCAUUUUUGUUUUGAUGCCCCUUUCAUGGAUCUAAAUAAUGACAUCCACCUUAAAAUAAAUGUAUGUGUCUGUGGUCAUCCCAAAGCUGAAGGUUGGUAUCUACUCCACUGUUUUUCAUGUUUUCUCGGACAGUUCAUAUUAUUAGCAAAUGUUUUUACCUGUCCGCUGUGAUUGGCACGGAUUUCGCCUUCACUGGUAACCUGGUAACAUGUACUCCCAAAUCAUUCUUUGUCUCUGUGGUGGAUAGUGGAGUGUUUCCCAUGUGGUAUUGGUGUGCUGGAUAUCCCUUCACUGGUAGCCUGAUAACAUAUGUACUCCCAGAUCAUUCUUUGUCUCUGUGGUGGAUAGUGGAGUGCUUCCCACGUGGUACUGGUGUGGUGGAUAUCCCCUCCCAAGGUGCAGGACUAUAUAUUUUUCUAAACUGAAUUGUAGCAGCCACUUUUUGCUCCACUCCUGUAGCUUGGUGAUGUCUUCUUGUAGGAAAUCCACAGUGAAGGGUUUAAGCAAGUGAGAUUUUACCCUCCCAUGACCAGUGUACAGAAGGGACCCUGUAGUUGUUUGAAGGAAUAUUACCGGAUUGAUUAACUAGAUGGUACAUAUUAGAUUAGGGCAAAAUGUGAGAAUGGGGGCAGGAGACUGGCUUCAACUAGAGGGUAUAAUAUAGAUUGACCUUGUAGUUGUUUGAAGGAAUAUUACUGGACUUGGGAGAGAGUGUGGAGGGAGGAGGAGAAAUAUUGAUAAUAGACGAUAGUGAUCCUUUAUAUGGUGAUGAAGGGAAUGGUGAUAGGUACUGGUGAUGAUAAUGGUGAUGUUAUAGUGAUGGAGGGAGGGAUGUGGCAGGUGGUUGGAUGAGAG